UCUUCUUCUUGACUUCUUGGACCUAUCAAAAGGUCUCUUAUAUACAGAUGUACCUAGUGGCUUAAAAGAAGAAGGCUCCUAAGACUGUAUAUCACGUAUAGGAUAUUUGAUAACUGGCUCGUAUACUCUCAUGAAUAUCUCUUUGGUAUGCCAAUAAUCUAUGUAUUGCUCAACUUCUUUCUUAGAAAAUAUGAUCGUUGUUGCUGCAUGGCAACAUUGUAUACCAAUC
rnacentral:lncRNA from 1 species